GGAUGUAGAGGUGAGCUGGCUGUGAUAUCUGUCACCCCAUUGAUCAUCAGAGUUGAUUCAGAUGAUCUGGCUGGCUAGGCGGGUGUCCCCUUCCUCCCUCACCGCUCUAUGUGAAUCUCUCCUGAAGCUGCUCUCUUGGUCUAAGAGGAUGGCCUUCCACAAAUAGAGAUGGACCAGUCUUCGGUCGAGGGUAUAUGAGUAGCUGUGCCCCCCUGCUAGAACUUCCAAACAAGCACCCAGGUCCUUGUGUAUUGUAGCAUGUAUACUCACCCAGGUGUAUACCAGGUGUAUACCUCUCU
ensembl:misc_RNA 7SK 7SK RNA